rnacentral:rRNA from 1 species
GAUGAACGCUAGCUACAGGCUUAACACAUGCAAGUCGAGGGGAAACGACAUCGCAAGCUUGCUUUUGAUGGGCGUCGACCGGCGCACGGGUGAGUAACGCGUAUCCAACCUGCCCAUCACUUGGGAAUAACCUUGCGAAAGUAAGACUAAUACCCAAUGAUAUCCCACGAAGGCAUCGGAAUGGGAUUAAAGAUUUAUCGGUGAUGGAUGGGGAUGCGUCUGAUUAGCUUGUUGGCGGGGUAACGGCCCACCAAGGCAACGAUCAGUAGGGGUUCUGAGAGGAAGGUCCCCCACAUUGGAACUGAGACACGGUCCAAACUCCUACGGGAGGCAGCAGUGAGGAAUAUUGGUCAAUGGGCGAGAGCCUGAACCAGCCAAGUAGCGUGCAGGAAGACGGCCCUAGGGGUUGUAAACUGCUUUUAUAAGGGAAUAAAGUGGGUCACGUGUGACUUUUUGCAUGUACCUUAUGAAUAAGGACCGGCUAAUUCCGUG